rnacentral:rRNA from 1 species
GACGAACGCUGGCGGCGUGCUUAACACAUGCAAGUCGAACGGAAAGGCCCUGCUUUUGUGGGGUGCUCGAGUGGCGAACGGGUGAGUAACACGUGAGUAACCUGCCCUUGACUUUGGGAUAACUUCAGGAAACUGGGGCUAAUACCGGAUAGGAGCUCCUGCUGCAUGGUGGGGGUUGGAAAGUUUCGGCGGUUGGGGAUGGACUGGCGGCUUAUCAGCUUGUUGGUGGGGUAGUGGCUUACCAAGGCGUUGACGGGUAGCCGGCCUGAGAGGGUGACCGGCCACAUUGGGACUGAGAUACGGCCCAGACUCCUACGGGAGGCAGCAGUGGGGAAUAUUGCACAAUGGGCGGAAGCCUGAUGCAGCAACGCCGCGUGCGGGAUGACGGCCUUCGGGUUGUAAACCGCUUUCGCCUGUGACGAAGCGUGAGUGACGGUAAUGGGUGAAGAAGCACCGGCUAACUACGUG